UACGAAGGGGGCUAGCGUUGCUCGGAAUCACUGGGCGUAAAGGGUGCGUAGGCGGGUCUUUAAGUCAGGGGUGAAAUCCUGGAGCUCAACUCCAGAACUGCCUUUGAUACUGAGGAUCUUGAGUUCGGGAGGAGGUGAGUGGAACUGCGAGUGUAGAGGUGAAAUUCGUAGAUAUUCGCAAGAACACCAGUGGCGAAGGCGGCUCACUGGCCCGAUACUGACGCUGAGGCACGAAGGCCAGGGGAGACAAACCGGGG
rnacentral:rRNA from 1 species